GAUGAACGCUGGCGGCGUGCCUAACACAUGCAAGUCGAACGAAGCACUUUAGCUUGAUUCUUCGGAUGAAGGCUAUUGUGACUGAGUGGCGGACGGGUGAGUAACGCGUGGGUAACCUGCCUCAUACAGGGGGAUAACAGUUAGAAAUGACUGCUAAUACCGCAUAAGACCACGGAGUCGCAUGACUCAGUGGGAAAAACUCUGGUGGUAUGAGAUGGACCCGCGUCUGAUUAGGUAGUUGGUGGGGUAACGGCCUACCAAGCCGACGAUCCGUAGCCGACCUGAGAGGGUGGCCGGCCACAUUGGGUCUGAGACACGGCCCAAACUCCUACGGGAGGCUGCAGUGGGGAAUAUUGCACAAUGGGGGAAACCCUGAUGCAGCGACGCCGCGUGAGCGAAGAAGUAUUUCGGUAUGUAAAGCUCUAUCAGCAGGGAAGAAAAUGACGGUACCUGACUAAGAAGCCCCGGCUAACUACGUGCCAGCCGCCGCAGUAA
rnacentral:rRNA from 1 species